UACGGAGGGUACGAACGUUAAUCGGAAUUACUGGGCGUAAAGCGCGCGUAGGCGGUUUGAUAAGUGGGAUGUGAAAGCCCCGGGCUUAACCUGGGAACUGCAUUCCAAACUGUCAGACUAGAGUAUGGGUAGGAGGCUGGAGUAAUUUCCUGUGUAGCGGUGAAAUGCGUAGAUAUAGGAAGGAAUACCGAUGGCGAAGGCAGCCAGCUGGACCAAUACUGACGCUGAGGUGCGAAAGCGUGGGGAGCAAACAGGGAUUAAGAUACCCGGUAGUCC
rnacentral:rRNA from 1 species